rnacentral:misc_RNA from 1 species
CUCUCACAAAUUGCUGAAAUUUCAUGGAUUUAAAUGUGCACAUACGAGGCUCAUCUUGAUCAUCCUCUCCAUGUUCGAGGCUUGUCUAUAUGUUCAGGUGUCCUAUACCAUCUUCAACACUGAUAUAUUCUUAAUUAUCUUCCAGGGUCAUAAGUGUUGGUAUCUGUCCAUGGUCCUCGAAAUCAAUCUCUCAGACAACAUAACACUUGCUCUGGAAGUUCCUCUUGUUUUUGUGCCUGGAUGGUUAAACCAAGGUCAAUGAUUCCAUUUUUAAGACGAUCUCGAAAUGAUUCAAGU